rnacentral:rRNA from 1 species
UAUACNUGCAGUCGAACGAACUUCCGUUAAUUGAUUAUGACGUACUUGUACUGAUUGAGAUUUUAACACGAAGUGAGUGGCGAACGGGUGAGUAACACGUGGGUAACCUGCCCAGAAGUAGGGGAUAACACCUGGAAACAGAUGCUAAUACCGUAUAACAGAGAAAACCGCAUGGUUUUCUUUUAAAAGAUGGCUCUGCUAUCACUUCUGGAUGGACCCGCGGCGUAUUAGCUAGUUGGUGAGGUAAAGGCUCACCAAGGCAGUGAUACGUAGCCGACCUGAGAGGGUAAUCGGCCACAUUGGGACUGAGACACGGCCCAGACUCCUACGGGAGGCAGCAGUAGGGAAUCUUCCACAAUGGACGCAAGUCUGAUGGAGCAACGCCGCGUGAGUGAAGAAGGGUUUCGGCUCGUAAAGCUCUGUUGUUAAAGAAGAACGUGGGUAAGAGUAACUGUUUACCCAGUGACGGUAUUUAACCAGAAAGCCACGGCUAACUACGUGCCAGCAGCCGCGGUAAUACGUAGGUGGCAAGCGUUAUCCGGAUUUAUUGGGCGUAAAGCGAGCGCAGGCGGUCUUUUAAGUCUAAUGUGAAAGCCUUCGGCUCAACCGAAGAAGUGCAUUGGAAACUGGGAGACUUGAGUGCAGAAGAGGACAGUGGAACUCCAUGUGUAGCGGUGAAAUGCGUAGAUAUAUGGAAGAACACCAGUGGCGAAGGCGGCUGUCUGGUCUGCAACUGACGCUGAGGCUCGAAAGCAUGGGUAGCGAACAGGAUUAGAUACCCUGGUAGUCCAUGCCGUAAACGAUGAUUACUAAGUGUUGGAGGGUUUCCGCCCUUCAGUGCUGCAGCUAACGCAUUAAGUAAUCCGCCUGGGGAGUACGACCGCAAGGUUGAAACUCAAAAGAAUUGACGG